GCAUUACUAGCUUAAUGGUAAAGCCUCUCAAUGUCACUGAGAGAAAUGUCAGUUCGAAUCUGAUGUAAUGCG
rnacentral:tRNA from 1 species